AUGGUGCCCGCCGACAUGCGCGUCCUCAGGCUCAUCUCCUCCAUGCUCCGUGUCGAGCAGGGGUCGCUCAAGGGUGAGACCAACUCCGUCAACAAGACUGCGCAUGCCGUGCCGGCCGAGGACGCUGACAUCCAGGCCAAGGAGUGCAUGGUGUUCGCGGGCACCACCGUCGUCAAUGGCAGCGCCGUCUGCCUCGUCGUGCGCACCGGGAUGGCCACCGAGAUCAGCAAGGUCAACCUUGGUGGUUUUCUCUCGUUCACCUCAUUCCUUCCCGGCUCACACGCUCCGUCCGCAGAAUAG
rnacentral:rRNA from 1 species